UAACAUGAAUUGGAAUUGGAUAAGCUUAAUAUUUAAUAAUAAUAAAGAUGAUGUAAUAUGAAAUUAAACAAAUUAAACAAAUAAGAUCAUAUUUGUAUUGAGAUGUGAAACCUGGAACUACACUGCUUGCCAAAUAAGAAUUCUUUAUGUUAAAAAAAAUUAGGAGAAUAAAUGGAAUAAA